CCUCUGGUAUUGAUUGGUGCUUGCAUCAUGAUUUACAUUUGAGUGAGUGGCGAACUGGUGAGUAACACGUGGGAAACCUGCCCAGAAGCGGGGGAUAACACCUGGAAACAGAUGCUAAUACCGCAUAACAACUUGGACCGCAUGGUCCGAGUUUGAAAGAUGGCUUCGGCUAUCACUUUUGGAUGGUCCCGCGGCGUAUUAGCUAGAUGGUGGGGUAACGGCUCACCAUGGCAAUGAUACGUAGCCGACCUGAGAGGGUAAUCGGCCACAUUGGGACUGAGACACGGCCCAAACUCCUACGGGAGGCAGCAGUAGGGAAUCUUCCACAAUGGACGAAAGUCUGAUGGAGCAACGCCGCGUGAGUGAAGAAGGGUUUCGGCUCGUAAAACUCUGUUGUUAAAGAAGAACAUAUCUGAGAGUAACUGUUCAGGUAUUGACGGUAUUUAACCAGAAAGCCACGGCUAACUACGUGCCAGCAGCCGCGGUAAUACGUAGGUGGCAAGCGUUGUCCGGAUUUAUUGGGCGUAAAGCGAGCGCAGGCGGUUUUUUAAGUCUGAUGUGAAAGCCUUCGGCUCAACCGAAGAAGUGCAUCGGAAACUGGGAAACUUGAGUGCAGAAGAGGACAGUGGAACUCCAUGUGUAGCGUGA
rnacentral:rRNA from 2 species